rnacentral:rRNA from 1 species
AGCCCAACAGCUAGCCCACCUAUUAAAACCAAAACACCCUUAUAAAUACCCCUAAAUAUUGUUCUUACAACAACCCAAAACAUUUUACCACUUUAGUAUAGGCGAUAGAAAC